rnacentral:rRNA from 1 species
CCUUCGGGGGACAGAGUGACAGGUGGUGCAUGGUUGUCGUCAGCUCGUGUCGUGAGAUGUUGGGUUAAGUCCCGCAACGAGCGCAACCCUUAAGCUUAGUUGCCAUCAUUAAGUUGGGCACUCUAAGUUGACUGCCGGUGACAAACCGGAGGAAGGUGGGGAUGACGUCAAAUCAUCAUGCCCCUUAUGAUUUGGGCUACACACGUGCUACAAUGGACAAUACAAAGGGUAGCGAAACCGCGAGGUCAAGCAAAUCCCAUAAAGUUGUUCUCAGUUCGGAUUGUAGUCUGCAACUCGACUAUAUGAAGCUGGAAUCGCUAGUAAUCGUAGAUCAGCAUGCUACGGUG